CAGUAGCCACGGUAAUACGGAGGGCGCAAGCGUUAAUCGGAAUUACUGGGCGUAAAGCGUGCGUAGGCGGUUCGUUAAGUCUGUUGUGAAAGCCCCGGGCUCAACCUGGGAAUGGCAAUGGAUACUGGCGAGCUAGAGUGCGUCAGAGGAUGGUGGAAUUCCCGGUGUAGCGGUGAAAUGCGUAGAGAUCGGGAGGAACAUCAGUGGCGAAGGCGGCCAUCUGGGACAACACUGACGCUGAGGCACGAAAGCGUGGGGGGCAAACAGGAUUAGAUACCCCCGUAGUCCCUGUCUCUUAUAC
rnacentral:rRNA from 1 species